rnacentral:rRNA from 1 species
GACGAACGCUGGCGGCGUGCUUAACACAUGCAAGUCGAACGGAAAGGCCCUGCUUGCAGGGUACUCGAGUGGCGAACGGGUGAGUAACACGUGGGUGAUCUGCCCUGCACUUCGGGAUAAGCCUGGGAAACUGGGUCUAAUACCGGAUAGGAGCCAUUUUUAGUGUGAUGGUUGGAAAGUUUUUUCGGUGUAGGAUGAGCUCGCGGCCUAUCAGCUUGUUGGUGGGGUAAUGGCCUACCAAGGCGGCGACGGGUAGCCGGCCUGAGAGGGUGGACGGCCACAUUGGGACUGGGAUACGGCCCAGACUCCUACGGGAGGAAGAAGUGGGGAAUAUUGAACAAGGGGCGCAAGCCUGAGGCAGCGACGCCGCGGGGGGGAUGACGGCCUUCGGGUGGAAAACUCCUUUCGCUAGGGACGAAGCUUUUUGUGACGGUACCUAGAUAAGAAGCACCGGCUAACUACGUG